UAACCUGGCGGCUGCUUUCCAUGCAAGUCGGACGGCAGCGAGGUGGUGCUUGCACCACUGUCGGCGAGUGGCGAACGGGUGAGUAAUGCAUUGGAACGUACCGAGUAGUGGGGGAUAACUGUCCGAAAGGAUAGCUAAUACCGCAUACGACCUGAGGGUGAAAGCGGGGGACUCUUUGAGCCUCGCGCUAUUUGAGCGGCCAAUGUCUGAUUAGGUAGUUGGUGGGGUAAAGGCCUACCAAGCCGACGAUCAGUAGCGGGUCUGAGAGGAUGAUCCGCCACACUGGGACUGAGACACGGCCCAGACUCCUACGGGAGGCAGCAGUGGGGAAUUUUGGACAAUGGGGGGAACCCUGAUCCAGCCAUGCCGCGUGUCUGAAGAAGGCCUUCGGGUUGUAAAGGACUUUUGUCGGGGAAGAAAAGCGGAUUGAUAAUACCAGUUCGUGAUGACGGUACCCGAAGAAUAAGCACCGGCUAACUACGUGCCAGCAGCCGCGGUAAU
rnacentral:rRNA from 1 species